rnacentral:rRNA from 1 species
UACGUAGGGUGCAGGCGUUAAUCGGAAUUACUGGGCGUAAAGCGUGCGCAGGCGGCUCCUUAAGUCAGAUGUGAAAGCCUCGGGCUUAACCUGGGAACUGCGUUUGAAACUGGGGAGCUAGAGUGUAGAAGAGGGGGGUGGAAUUCCAGGUGUAGCAGUGAAAUGCGUAGAGAUCUGGAGGAACACCGAUGGCGAAGGCAGCCCCCUGGGCUAACACUGACGCUCAUGCACGAAAGCGUGGGGAGCAAACAGG